AGCCUCGGAGUGUUACACGUCAAAAUGCAAGUUUGAAAAUGAGCCCCAAAGGGCUCCGGGGCUU
rnacentral:tRNA from 1 species